CCUACGGGGGGCUGCAGUGGGGAAUAUUGGACAAUGGGGGGAACCCUGAUCCAGCCAUGCCGCGUGUGUGAAGAAGGCCCUCGGGUUGUAAAGCACUUUCAGUGAGGAAGAACGCCUGGUGGUUAAUACCCAUCAGGAAAGACAUCACUCACAGAAGAAGCACCGGCUAACUCCGUGCCAGCAGCCGCGGUAAUACGGAGGGUGCGAGCGUUAAUCGGAAUUACUGGGCGUAAAGCGCGCGUAGGUGGCUUGAUAAGCCGGUUGUGAAAGCCCCGGGCUCAACCUGGGAACGGCAUCCGGAACUGUCAAGCUAGAGUGCAGGAGAGGAAGGUAGAAUUCCCGGUGUAGCGGUGAAAUGCGUAGAGAUCGGGAGGAAUACCAGUGGCGAAGGCGGCCUUCUGGACGGACACUGACACUGAGGUGCGAAAGCGUGGGUAGCAAACAGGAUUAGAUACCCUAGUAGUC
rnacentral:rRNA from 1 species